CAACCCUCAGGCCCUCCGUGCCUGGUGUUGGGGCACCCCCGCGGCGCACGCCGCGCGGGUCCCGAAAGCCAUCGGCGGUGCCUGCCAGCACUCCGGGCGCAGUAGUUACUUCUCGCCCAGGACGUCUGGCGGCGCUCUUGCCGCUAAACCCGCUGCCCCCAGGGGCGCGACAUAUCAA
rnacentral:misc_RNA from 1 species